CAAAGUAAAAGGUCCUCCCAUGCUGACACUUUCUUUGCAUGUAUUACAGACUGGCUUUCCUGGUGUUGGUUGAUUGAAAAACUCCCAUAAUGCACUUUGGGAUCUUUUUUAAGUGCAGAUCGAGAUGUGGACAUAAAGUGAGACAGAGUGUUCCCUCUUUGACUAUAGCCAUCGCCAGAUUCCUGGCCAGAGCGAGUCUCAGCAGCUCCACUUUGCAGCUGCAGAGACCAACACUUUUACUGGGCAAAAAAUACUGCAGCAGCAACUAAAAGCUAAAAGUUUCUCUGAUAAACAAUGACGAGCAACAACACCAGCACCU